rnacentral:tRNA from 1 species
GGCCCUUUAGCUCAGUUGGUUAGAGCGUGCGACUCAUAAUCGCUUGGUCACUGGUUCAAAUCCAGUAGGGGCCACCA